rnacentral:rRNA from 1 species
GAUGAACGCUGGCGGCGUGCCUAAUACAUGCAAGUCGAGCGAACGGACGAGAAGCUUGCUUCUCUGAUGUUAGCGGCGGACGGGUGAGUAACACGUGGAUAACCUACCUAUAAGACUGGGAUAACUUCGGGAAACCGGAGCUAAUACCGGAUAAUAUUUUGAACCGCAUGGUUCAAAAGUGAAAGACGGUCUUGCUGUCACUUAUAGAUGGAUCCGCGCUGCAUUAGCUAGUUGGUAAGGUAACGGCUUACCAAGGCAACGAUGCAUAGCCGACCUGAGAGGGUGACCGGCCACACUGGAACUGAGACACGGUCCAGACUCCUACGGGAGGCAGCAGUAGGGAAUCUUCCGCAAUGGGCGAAAGCCUGACGGAGCAACGCCGCGUGAGUGAUGGAGGUCUUCGGAUCGUAAAACUCUGUUAUUAGGGAAGAACAUAUAUGUAAGUAACUGUGCACAUCUUGACGGUACCUAAUCAGAAAGCCACGGCUAACUACGUGCCAGCAGCCGCGGUAAUACGUAGGUGGCAAGCGUUAUCCGAAAUUAUUGGGCGUAAAGCGCGCGUAGGCGGUUUUUUAAGUCUGAUGUGAAAGCCCACGGCUCAACCGUGGAGGGUCAUUGGAAACUGGAAAACUUGAGUGCAGAAGAGGAAAGUGGAAUUCCAUGUGUAGCGGUGAAAUGCGCAGAGAUAUGGAGGAACACCAGUGGCGAAGGCGACUUUCUGGUCUGUAACUGACGCUGAUGUGCGAAAGCGUGGGGAUCAAACAGGAUUAGAUACCCUGGUAGUCCACGCCGUAAACGAUGAGUGCUAAGUGUUAGGGGGUUUCCGCCCCUUAGUGCUGCAGCUAACGCAUUAAGCACUCCGCCUGGGGAGUACGACCGCAAGGUUGAAACUCAAAGGAAUUGACGGGGACCCGCACAAGCGGUGGAGCAUGUGGUUUAAUUCGAAGCAACGCGAAGAACCUUACCAAAUCUUGACAUCCUUUGACAACUCUAGAGAUAGAGCUUUCCCCUUCGGGGGACAAAGUGACAGGUGGUGCAUGGUUGUCGUCAGCUCGUGUCGUGAGAUGUUGGGUUAAGUCCCGCAACGAGCGCAACCCUUAAGCUUAGUUGCCAUCAUUAAGUUGGGCACUCUAAGUUGACUGCCGGUGACAAACCGGAGGAAGGUGGGGAUGACGCCAAAUCAUCAUGCCCCUUAUGAUUUGGGCUACACACGUGCUACAAUGGACAAUACAAAGGGCAGCGAAACCGCGAGGUCAAGCAAAUCCCAUAAAGUUGUUCUCAGUUCGGAUUGUAGUCUGCAACUCGACUACAUGAAGCUGGAAUCGCUAGUAAUCGUAGAUCAGCAUGCUACGGUGAAUACGUUCCCGGGUCU